rnacentral:rRNA from 1 species
CCUACGGGGUGCAGCAGUGGGGAAUAUUGGACAAUGGGCGAAAGCCUGAUCCAGCCAUGCCGCGUGUGUGAAGAAGGCCUUCGGGUUGUAAAGCACUUUCAGUGGGGAAGAAAGCCUUGGGGCUAAUACCCUCGAGGAAGGACAUCACCCACAGAAGAAGCACCGGCUAACUCCGUGCCAGCAGCCGCGGUAAUACGGAGGGUGCGAGCGUUAAUCGGAAUUACUGGGCGUAAAGCGCGCGUAGGCGGUCUGAUAAGCCGGUUGUGAAAGCCCCGGGCUCAACCUGGGAACGGCAUCCGGAACUGUCAGGCUAGAGUGCAGGAGAGGAAGGUAGAAUUCCCGGUGUAGCGGUGAAAUGCGUAGUGAUCGGGAGGAAUACCAGUGGCGAAGGCGGCCUUCUGGACUGACACUGACGCUGAGGUGCGAAAGCGUGGGUAGCAAACAGGAUUAGAUACCCCUGUAGUC